rnacentral:lncRNA from 1 species
UGGGUACUCAGGGAGCCACCUUUCAACAGCACCAUGAUAUCUCAGCCAUUCGAUUAUGUUCUCUGGGAAUUAAAAGAGGGAAUUGUGAAAGUCUCUAUGUAGAAAGACCUAGUUAAACAUGUAAGAAAGAGAAAGCUAUAUAAUUUCUUUGGUUAAAAAGGGUACUCUGACAGUCAACUCUAAUAUGAAAGUAAUUUUCUCCAUAUUAAUAGCCAGCUAAUAUCUGUAUCCUAGCAUGCACUUUUUUCUAACAUUAUCUUCACUUUGGAGAGUAAAAUUAGCCCCAUUCUACAGUUAGAAAAAUGAAGACACAGAGCAUUCAAGGAUUUCAUUCAAAAUAACAAAAGAGCCAGACAAAAGCUAAUGGCUUACAGAUGUAGGAUAUUUUUCAAAGAAGAAGCACAAAUCAUGUUAUCUUUGAUGUAACAUGUGUAGAACUAACAAAACGCCUGCCUUUGAGAUUUACAAUAGUCAGAGGGGAAAAAAAUCUUUUUCAUCUUUUUUAUUUUAAAAUUCCUCUGUGUAUGUAGUCAUUUCUCUAAAACCAAGCCAAGUUAUUUUUUAUGAAUAACAAAUUUAACUAAAUAAAUUAUGCAACAAGUUAAAUUAAAAUUUCCUUGUAGUAAAUCUUAAAAAUGUCUUCUCCUCUUUACCAGUUCUUUUAUGGGAGAAAAACACAGGCAUGAUGACAAUGGCCAAAACUAAGGUCAUUCUCUUUCUUCCCAAAUCCAGUUGACUGAACUAGUUGUUGCACUGGAGAAGUCACAACAGCCUUAUCUAGUGAGACAGACUUACCGUGUGGCAGGCACAGAGGUCUCUGCCUUCAGGUGGCUUUCUGACCAGAGGUGGUGGGUAAGACAGAUGUGCUCGGAGGCGUGAACCUGGAUGCCCAUCCAUGUUAGGGGAGCACAAGGGAGGCCAUCAAACUUGGGCUAAGGAUCAGGGUACCAUUUAUGGAUGAGGUGAGAGCCAAACUAAUACCUAAAAUAUGUGUAGGAAUGAGCCUGGUGAGGGAAUGUGAGAAAUGACCCAAAAAGGUAGAACAGGAUGUGAGAAGAUCUAGAAGAGAAAAGGCUGGCAGCAUAUUAGUAGAAUCUAAAGAAAUCCAGUGCGACAGGAGUGAUAGGGAGCGGAGAUAACCUACCUAUUAGAAUCUCCCUUUGGCACUUUUUGAAUAUAUUAGAUUUAUGAACACUCGGUAGUAUGCUAGUUAAAUAGAUCACACUAAGACCCAACUGCUGAUGCACAUACCACUUGAUGUGUAUAUGUAUGUAUAACUGGGUCACCAUCCUGUACAGUAGAAAAAAAAAUCGUAUUGGGGAAAUAAAAAUUUUAAAAAUGAAUAAAUUCAUAGAAGGAGGUGAAAUAAAAACAAACAAACAAAAAACCCACCUUUCAAUUAAAAUAUUCUUUGCCAAAAAAAAAAAAAAGAGGUCAAAGGAAAUUUUUUUUUAAAAGCUCUGACAUUUGCUUUCUAUCUUGUCUAGUUACUUUUUAGAAAGAUAGUUGAGGGAGUUCCCUGGCACAGCAGAAAUGAAUCUGACUGGUAUCCAUGAGAAUGCAGGUUUGAUCCCUGCCCUGAGCUGUGGCGUAGGUUGCAGAUGCAGCUUGGAUCCUGCGUUGCUGUGGCUGUGACUUAGGCCAGCAGCUGUAGCUCCAAUUUGACCCUUAGCCUAGGAACCUCCAUAUGC